AUGCUUUCACAACUUGACUUCAAAAUAUUUGGUUUGGAGACCAUCAAAGAUCAAUAUGUGCAUGAUGCUGAUUUUAAAGAUGUAAUGCAGAAUUGUAAAGAAGGAAGAAUGUGGAACAAGUUUGUCGUUAACGAUGGAUUUGUGUUUCGUGCUAACAAGCUAUGCAUUCCAGCUAGCUCCGUUCGUCUUUUGUUGUUGCAGGAGGCGCAUGGAGGAGGAUUAAUGGGACACUUUGGCGUGAAGAAGACGGAGGACGUACUUGCUACACAUUUCUUUUGGCCAAAGAUGAGACGGGAUGUUGAGCGUUGUAUUGCUCGAUGCACUACAUGUCAAAAAGCUAAGUCACGACUCAAUCCUCAUGGUUUAUAUAUGCCUUUGCCUGUACCUAGUGUUCCUUGGGAGGAUAUAUCUAUGGACUUUGUUUUAGGUUUACCUCGAACAAAGAAGGGGAGGGAUAGCAUAUUUGUUGUCGUGGAUAGAUUCUCGAAAAUGGCACACUUUAUACCAUGUCAUAAAAGCGAUGAUGCUGUUAAUGUUGCUGAUUUGUUCUUUCGUGAAAUUAUUCGCUUGCAUGGUGUGCCAAAUACUAUUGUUUCAGAUCGUGAUACUAAAUUCCUUAGCCACUUUUGGAGAUGUUUAUGGGCUAAGUUGGGGACUAAACUGCUUUUUAGUACUACUUGUCACCCCCAAACUGAUGGACAAACUGAAGUAGUCAAUAGAACGUUGUCUACUAUGCUUAGGGCUGUUUUGAAGAAUAAUAAGAAAAUGUGGGAGGAAUGCUUGCCUCAUAUUGAAUUUGCUUAUAAUCGUUCAUUGCAUUCUACUACUAAGAUGUGCCCUUUUGAAGUUGUGUAUGGUUUCCUACCUCGUGCACCUAUUGAUCUGUUGCCUCUUCCAUCUUCGGAGAAGGUUAAUUUUGAUGCUAAACAACGUGCUGAAUUGAUUUUAAAAAUGCAUGAGUUAACUAAGGAAAACAUUGAGCGUAUGAAUGCUAAAUAUAAACUUGCUGGAGAUAAGGGUAGAAAACAUGUUGUGUUUGCACCUGGAGAUCUUGUUUGGUUACAUUUGCUCAAGGAUAGAUUUCCUGAUUUGCGCAAAUCAAACCUAAUGCCACGUGAUGAUGGUCCCUUUAAGGUGUUAGAGAAAAUAAAUGAUAAUGCAUAUAAACUUGAGCUGCGUGCAGAUUUUGGGGUUAGUCCCACUUUUAACAUUGCAGAUUUGAAGCCUUAUUUGGGUGAGGAAGCUGAGUUUCCGUCGAGGACGACUUCAUUUCAAGAAGGGGAGGAUGAUGAGGACAUCAAUACCAUUGUUACACCCACAGCCCCUACUGCUACAUAUACGGGACCAAUUACUAGAGCUCGCGCACGCCAAUUAAAUUAUCAGGUACUUUCGUUUCUUGGUAAUGAUUCUAAUGUUCAUGAGAAUAUGAUGCUUCCUAAAUUGGAUACAUUUGUUUUGCUUACAAAUGAAGGGCCUAGCUUGGAGAAGGAUGAACAUUGGAGCAAGAACAAGCAUGGAGAUGAUGCCAUGCGCAAGGGGAACAAGAACGGAGUUACAAGUGAUGAUUUCAGGACUUUGAAGCCAUCAUAA
rnacentral:rRNA from 1 species